rnacentral:sRNA from 1 species
UAUUCUGCCCCAUGGGGAAGGAUGAGAAGCUACGACUAAGGUUCGACUCGAGCGAAGCGAGAGAACGUUGCCGCAGGCAACGUCCCGAAGGGAGAGGCGCUUUAGCGACGAGUACUCCCACCCCCACCACCA